rnacentral:rRNA from 1 species
GACAGAGGGGGCAAGCGUUGCUCGGAAUUACUAGGCGUAAAGGGCGCGUAGGCGGGCUGGCAAGUCGGUCGUGAAAUCCUUCGGCUCAACCGAAGAACGUCGAUCGAUACUGCUGUUCUUGAGGGUUGCAGAGGAGACUGGAAUUCCCGGUGUAGCGGUGAAAUGUGUAGAGAUCGGGAGGAACACCGGUGGCGAAGGCGGGUCUCUGGGCAAUUCCUGACGCUGAGGCGCGAAAGCGUGGGGAGCAAACGGG